rnacentral:lncRNA from 1 species
GAUUCAUGAUAACGCCAUGGUAUAAAUUAACUGCGUUGCAAAAGUAAGAACAUACAUCGUCUUCAGUUUGCAAGUACAAUGAAUUUCCUACUGUUCUUCGCCGUAAUCGCCUGCAUUUGCGUGAUGUUCGCAUCGGUAUCUGCUCAGGGAGGUCUGGGAGGAGGGACCGGAGGGGGCGGUAUCGGAGGGGUCGGUCGUUCUGUGAACCUGGACGGCUGGAACCAAGGCCUACGCGCUGCUGCUGACUUUGACCCUGCCGUAUAAAUAUAACCCUAUAGGUUUCAGACUAGCGUUUUUUGUACGCUUGUCGUCUCUGCAUACGCGCUUACACGCUCGCUACUUUCUGCUUAAACCUGAUUCGUGUACACGGCGUAGAAGGUAGUAGUGUGGCGUAUCAACAUGGAUCACACGAGCUUAUAAGUGCUUCAACGCUCGUACGAGCUGCACGUUUAACACAAGCCUACAACGUUUUCAAAAACGACCUACGCGCGUAAAAAACGCUAGUCUGUAACCGCUUCUCUUUAUCAUCCUUGUAUGUUUGAAAUGGUAUCAUCGGUGUAUUGCAUUUAUAAUACCAAUAUCCUAUCUUCAUGUAGAUCAAUAGCCUAACUCGGUCUUACACGAAUGUCUGAUAAUUGAGCACCUUACAACUGCUCAUCUAAAAGCUAUUGAAUAUAUAAUUAUUUUUUCCGUUUAAAUAAAAUAUUGUCACAAUCAUCAA